UACGAAGGGUGCAAGCGUUAAUCGGAAUUACUGGGCGUAAAGCGCGCGUAGGUGGUUCAGCAAGUUGGAUGUGAAAGCCCUGGGCUCAACCUGGGAACUGCAUCCAAAACUACUGAGCUAGAGUACGGUAGAGGGUAGUGGAAUUUCCUGUGUAGAGGUGAAAUUCGUAGAUAUUGGGAAGAACACCGGUGGCGAAGGCGGCCAUCUGGACGGACACUGACGCUGAGGCGCGAAAGCGUGGGGAGCAAACAGGAUUAGAAACCCGGGUAGU
rnacentral:rRNA from 1 species